AUGAAAUCCCCAUGAUUUAAACCUGCUUUAAAUUCUGCUUUCAGGUGGUGAUAGGUGAGGGGACCAGCUAGGGGAGGCAGGAGAAUGGGAAACACACCUGGGGAAAAGGAGGCAAAGCAAUGCCAGCAAAUGGAAGCAGCGACAGGGAAAUGAAUAAAGCAGAAUGAUGGGGAAGAGCCGUAAAGGAGGAGGGGAAGAGCCCUAAAGGAGGAGGUGGGGGGGUGCAAGGACAAACCCAGGUGCAUCAGGAACGAGGGGUCAGUGCUGUGUGUGCCUGCUUCACAAAAUCGAGUCUCCAUCAAGAGCAAGGAGCUCCAGUGACAGCUGUUGCAGAUAAAUUAUAGCAAGGCCACAUGGAAAGGUAACUUCUGCUCCCUAGGAUCGUGUGGGGAUUGCAGGCACAUCCUCAGAGCUGCAGCAGCUGAAGACCUUGAACUACAGGCAGACUUUCAAUUACAACAGUGAUACGCCUGCAGAAGGUGCAGUGUUGCAUCCUGAGGGGUAUUUUGGCUUCCAAACUCCUUUACAGCUGGUCUCUGCACAGCUGGGAGACUGGCAGUGCAGGUUGGAUGUAGCAGGCUGCAACAGAAAGGAAAUGAAAAGGCUUCUGCUCUAGGAAAAGCAAUCCUCUAGUUGUAACUGCAGCAAGACCUGCUCGAUGGCAUUGUGUGCAUUAGGAAGCAUCAUCUGGUGGACAGAUAUUUUCGGGAAUCUCUUAUACAGCACUUGCCAAUGCCUUGAGUAAACUCAAACGCUAUCUAUUUGUUGUUGAAAGCCACAGGAUAUAUAACUUAUGGCAUUCUUGAGCUCUUCCCUGCAGGUCCCAGAGCCUGUUCGAAAUAACAAGGGUGAGCUGAACCCACAGGCUUGCUUCUUUUUAUCCCAUCAAGACAAUAGGUGUUUUAUCAUCUGAAAGGCUUAGUUUUGUCUGCCUGAGUCUGUCCGUCCUGCUAGUUAAAAAUGCGUGAAAAUAAUUUUGGGGAGUUUUCAUCCACAUGAAUAGGUUAGUCCUCUUCAAGAAUAAUAAUAAUAAUAAUAAACUGAAGUUUAAAAUGUAGCUAAAGAUUGAUCUUAAAUUAAUAUUGAGGGUUUCAAAUUAUUUAGGGUUUAACACAGAGGAUAGCUGCAUGAAUCCUCGUGGAGGAAAUGCUCUUAUGUGAUUCCACAGUAUUUUUUCAUCAUGCAAAUAUUUUUUCAAGCAAGGAUUAUUAUUAUUUAUUUCAAUUUGUCAUCUCAAAACUUCAAAAAAAAGGGGAGGAAUUUUGACAAAACAUACUGCAAGUUUUAUUUGGUAGACCAUUAUAUGUCUAUUUUGACAUCUCAGUCAGAAAGCUCUUCUCCCCCUUGAAUAGAUGUGGGGUCCCCUUGGCUUUUAUUGUUGAACAUCCUUAGGAAUAAAGUUUGGUGAAGCUGAAUCUGCGGUAUUGAUGACAAAGGACCCAGUGCUGUUGGGUCUACCGACAUGGAAUGGCAUCACGUUGGCCAACAACUUUCUUUUCCCCUUGGAACAGAGUGAACCAAAUUGCCCAACAGAUACGUGGAUUUCCUCAGGUUAAACUCUGCUACCUUAUGUAGCAAGAGUCAGCAAAAGUACACAAGAAAGGGCAUUUGCAAUGUAUGAGCUGAAAUGGUUCAGUAAAUGCUGCUAUUCUGCUAAUUCAUUGUCCUCUUGCAAAUACAUAUUUGCACUGGGCAGGUGCAGAGUUCAUGCAAGUUUAAGUAAACGUGAAGUUAGGGAAAAGGUAGCUGUGGACUCAGCCUUUACUUUGGAUUUUAAAAUCCAGUUGUCGGUGGAGACCUGGUGAAAACGAUGGCUGGGAGCCUCUGGGUGUGUGCAGACAGGGCUGUUAGGUCACUUGGUGAAUGCAGCCGUACGCAUUUCUGCCUUCACCGGCCAUUAUUUGGGGGUCACCUGGUGCUCAUCAGCCUCUCCUGGGUUGUGUGCCCUGUCUCAGAUGGCUCCUAUGGACCAGGGUCUUGAGAUGCUCCUGAUGCUGGUGGAGAAAUUGCAUUUACUCAGUGAAUAUUCUGGCUUUAACUCAGUGCUGCCGGUUAAUCGAUUACAGCAUGGAAGUUGAUAUGUUGAGCCUACAAUAAUGACAAUUUUUGCAUGCUGAGUAGCAGGUGAGUUGUCCAUCCACAGACUGAAACUGGGAGCUGGGCAGCAGCAACAGAAAUCGUCACAAAGACUGAGGCUCGGAGAAAGAACUUCCUGCAAGCUGCGUUAUUUGUGAGUGCUUUUCCACCCAUGCUUUAGAAAAAUCUCAUUUAUAACCUCUUGAACAAGCCAAACUCCCCUUUAUCAGACUGACCAACAAUAUUAAACUGUGAUAAGGAAGGAUUAAAAAAUCAAAUGAUGGGAAAAGCUAAAUCUUCCUCAACAUCACCUUCCAUUGAAGUGGUGUCACCAGUUAGGAGCCACAGUGUGCCCCCACCAGCCACCCCCAUCAGCAUAUUAUUAGGAAACAUUCCCACUAAUCCCAUCAAUCGCUGCUCUUGUGGGGGGCAGCAGGCCUGCUCCACAUCCAGCCCCCAUUAUUUCACCCUGCUGAAAGCACUGCUUUAUCAGAUGUCAUCGAAAGGGCUCAUUUGCCAUGCGGGGAGCCAGUGGGUUUUACCAGCGCUCACACCAAAACUAAAUAUGGAUGAAAUUGCACCCCGCCAGCACAGAGUGGGCAUCGUAUGGCUGUGCAGUAUGCAGCCUCAGCCUGCUCUGUGGCUCCGGGAACAGCGCUCGCUCGCUUCAGUGCUUUUCGUUUGUGUAAGGCCGAAACAAAGCAGCAGUGUCUGAAGUGGAAUGUGCUGCAGGUAGCGAGCUCAACCUCCACCGCCACAGCCAGCGAGAGGAUUAAUUAAAGGAAUGAAGGUUGUUGCUUGGAGGGACUUCACAGGAAUGCAAACCGAAGGCCCUCAAAGAGCCCACAACAAAGGGGAAAGCCAUGCGAUCUUAAACUCAUGCGAGGAUGAGUGGUAUUGGAUUAAGGGCUUGGCCUACCUUGCAGAAAGGGCAGGAAACAUCGCUGCACUAGAAAGCAAUGCAAGCAGGAAAAUUUUUAUUUAUUUAUUUAUUUUCUUUUGGUAGGGUGGAUUAAAAUAGUGUAGCCUUGCUGAUGACAUUUGUGUUAUAUCUGAUACAAUCAAAUGUGUGUGAUAGUCUUAAGAACGCACACACAGUUUGUUUUGUAGUUUGUUUGCAAAUAACAUAAACACCUGCUUCAAUCCCCGUUUCUCUCUUGAUUUUCUUCUUUAUUUCAUUUUUAUAUUUGGCAGGGCGAUGCCACUGUGAUCCCGGCCGUGCUGGGAGUCACGGAGCUGCCUUUAUCAGUGCAGAGGGGUACAGCAGCAAUAAACGCACCUCCUGCUGCUUUGUGCAGACCUGCGAAGCGUCACGGGGCUUUUCAGUUAUCUCAUCCCCUCCAUUAAGGCACUCACCCCGGCUGAAAUACUGACCUGCUUUUUGAUGUGCUUUCCACUGUGUGCAAGCUCUGAUUUCACUGCUUGUCUAAGUGUCUACAGGUACUUGGCUGCUUGGGAUCUGGCAGACCCUCUUGCUGUGACCUAACUUUCCAGUUACCUGUUGUUGAUGAUGGUUUUAAUAUUUUCUUUUCAAUGCUUGCCAGCUACAUCUGUGAUCUUCAUUCUGCUACCUGGAAAACUUUUAUCAUCCUGAAUACUUUUAUCAACCCAAAAUAGCCAAGUGAAUAAAUAAAAGUAGCUCAAGCAUU